AGUGAACGCUGGCGGUAGGCCUAACACAUGCAGGUCGAACGGCCGCACAGUAAGAGCUUGCUCUUACGGGUGGCGAGUGGCGGACGGGUGAGGAAUACAUCGGAAUCUACUUUUUCGUGGGGGAUAACGUAGGGAAACUUACGCUAAUACCGCAUACGACCUACGGGUGAAAGCAGGGGAUCUUCGGACCUUGCGCGAUUGAAUGAGCCGAUGUCGGAUUAGCUAGUUGGCGGGGUAAAGGCCCACCAAGGCGACGAUCCGUAGCUGGUCUGAGAGGAUGAUCAGCCACACUGGAACUGAGACACGGUCCAGACUCCUACGGGAGGCAGCAGUGGGGAAUAUUGGACAAUGGGCGCAAGCCUGAUCCAGCCAUACCGCGUGGGUGAAGAAGGCCUUCGGGUUGUAAAGCCCUGUUGUUGGGAAAGAAAAGCAGCAGGUUAAUACCCCGCUGUUCUGACGGUACCCAAAGAAUAAGCACCGGCUAACUUCGUG
rnacentral:rRNA from 1 species